UUCGUAGGGAGCGAGCGUUAUCCGGAUUUAUUGGGUGUAAAGGGUGCGUAGAUGGAUAAGCAAGUUGUUUGUGAAAUCCCUCGGCUUAACUGAGGAACUGCAAGCAAAACUGUUAAUCUUGAGUACUGGAGGGGAAAGCGGAAUUCCUAGUGUAGCGGUGAAAUGCGUAGAUAUUAGGAAGAACACCGGUGGCGAAGGCGGCUUUCUGGACAGUAACUGACAUUGAGGCACGAAAGUGUGGGGAGCAAACAGG
rnacentral:rRNA from 1 species